GAACGUAUGGCUUAGUGGUCAGAGCGCCUGGUCAGUUUCCAGGAGGCGCGGAUUCGAGUCCCGCUACAUUAA
rnacentral:tRNA from 1 species